AUUGAACGCUGGCGGCAGGCCUAACACAUGCAAGUCGAGCGAGAGGAGGACGGGGGAGGAAUGUAUGGGGACUGCCCGAUAGAGGGGGAGAAAUACUGGAAACGGUAGCGAAAACAGCAUACUAUAGGAUAACCCAUAUGGGAUUAGCUAGAAGGGGAGGUAAUGGCUCACCUAGUGGACGAUCCCUAGCUGGUCUGAGAGGAUGAUCAGCCACACUGGGACUGAGACACGGCCCAGACUCCUACGGAGGCAGCAGUGGGGAAGAUUGCACAAUGGGCGCAAGCCUGAUGCAGCCAUGCCGCGUGUAUGAAGAAGGCCCUAGGGUUGUAAAGUACUUUCAGUCGGGAGGCGUUACCGACAGAAGAAGCACCGGCUAACUCCGUGCCAGCAGCCGCGGUAAUUC
rnacentral:rRNA from 1 species